GAUGAACGCUGGCGGCGUGCCUAAUACAUGCAAGUCGAGCGAACAGACGAGGAGCUUGCUCCUCUGACGUUAGCGGCGGACGGGUGAGUAACACGUGGAUAACCUACCUAUAAGACUGGGAUAACUUCGGGAAACCGGAGCUAAUACCGGAUAAUAUAUUGAACCGCAUGGUUCAAUAGUGAAAGACGGUUUUGCUGUCACUUAUAGAUGGAUCCGCGCCGCAUUAGCUAGUUGGUAAGGUAACGGCUUACCAAGGCAACGAUGCGUAGCCGACCUGAGAGGGUGAUCGGCCACACGGGAACUGAGACACGGUCCAGACUCCUACGGGAGGCAGCAGUAGGGAAUCUUCCGCAAUGGGCGAAAGCCUGACGGAGCAACGCCGCGUGAGUGAUGAAGGUCUUCGGAUCGUAAAACUCUGUUAUUAGGGAAGAACAAAUGUGUAAGUAACUAUGCACGUCUUGACGGUACCUAAUCAGAAAGCCACGGCUAACUACGUG
rnacentral:rRNA from 1 species